GGGAGCUUGCUCCUGGAUUCAGCGGCGGACGGGUGAGUAAUGCCUAGGAAUCUGCCUGGUAGUGGGGGAUAACGUCCGGAAACGGGCGCUAAUACCGCAUACGUCCUGAGGGAGAAAGUGGGGGAUCCUCGGACCUCACGCUAUCAGAUGAGCCUAGGUCGGAUUAGCUAGUUGGUGGGGUAAAGGCCUACCAAGGCGACGAUCCGUAACUGGUCUGAGAGGAUGAUCAGUCACACUGGAACUGAGACACGGUCCAGACUCCUACGGGAGGCAGCAGUGGGGAACAUUGGACAAUGGGCGAAAGCCUGAUCCAGCCAUGCCGCGUGUGUGAAGAAGGUCUUCGGAUUGUAAAGCACUUUAAGUUGGGAGGAAGGGCAGUAAGUUAAUACCUUGCUGUUUUGACGUUACCAACAGAAUAAGCACCGGCUAACUUCGUGCCAGCAGCCGCGGUAAUACGAAGGGUGCAAGCGUUAAUCGGAAUUACUGGGCGUAAAGCGCGCGUAGGUGGUUCAGCAAGUUGGAUGUGAAAUCCCCGGGCUCAACCUGGGAACUGCAUCCAAAACUACUGAGCUAGAGUACGGUAGAGGGUGGUGGAAUUUCCUGUGUAGCGGUGAAAUGCGUAGAUAUAGGAAGGAACACCAGUGGCGAAGGCGACCACCUGGACUGAUACUGACACUGAGGUGCGAGAGCGUGGGGAGCAAACAGGAUUAGAUACCCUGGUAGUCCACGCCGUAAACGAUGUCGACUAGCCGUUGGGAUCCUUGAGAUCUUAG
rnacentral:rRNA from 1 species